rnacentral:rRNA from 1 species
UACAUAGGGUGCAAGCGUUAAUCGGAAUUACUGGGCGUAAAGCGUGCGCAGGCGGUUGUGUAAGACAGAUGUGAAAUCCCCGGGCUCAACCUGGGAACUGCAUUUGUGACUGCACGGCUGGAGUGCGGCAGAGGGGGAUGGAAUUCCGCGUGUAGCAGUGAAAUGCGUAGAUAUGCGGAGGAACACCGAUGGCGAAGGCAAUCCCCUGGGCCUGCACUGACGCUCAUGCACGAAAGCGUGGGGAGCAAACAGG